rnacentral:rRNA from 1 species
UAAUAGGUGGGGAACUCUAGCGAGACUGCCGUUGAUAAACGGAGGAAGGUGGGGAUGACGUCAAAUCAUCAUGCCUCUUACGCCUUGGGCUACACACGUGCUACAAUGGCCGUUACAAAGAGAUGCGAAGUAGUAAUAUGGAGCGAAACUCAAAAAGGCGGUCUCAGUUCAGAUUGUGGGCUGCAACCCGCCCACAUGAAGAUGGAGUUGCUAGUAAUCCUGAAUCAGAAUGUCAGGGUGAAUGCGUUCUCGGGGUUU